CAUUUGAGAUCCGAAGAUGGCAGGUGGAAUUGCAUCUGGAUCGAGCCGUCUCUCGAAGCUUCUCAGGCCUCCAUCCACCGACCUCAAGGCCGCCGCCAUGUGGGGCGUCGCUGCCGGCACCGGGGCUCUUUGGUUCGUCCAGCCCUUUGAUUGGUUGAAGAAGACAUUUCUGGAGAAGCCAGAGACUCAAGGCUAGGGCAGUAAUUUAUGCUUUCACACAGAGCAAUUUUUUCAAGUUUUACCAAAUCAAUCGGAGGAGGAGAUUCCAUUUGUUUCCAAUAAAAAUUGUUUCUAGUUUGUAGCUCUCCUUGUUGAGGCUUAGAAAUGAUGCAAGCACUUUAAUCUGUUUGCUAUUGGGUUUUUCUUUCAAUUUCCCCUAUUAUCUUUCACUUGCUAUAUAGUUAUCAAUGGAACAGUACUAAUUAUUUAUUUGA